CGGCGACCGGCGCACGGGUGCGUAACGCGUAUGUAACCUACCUAUAACAGGGGCAUAACACUGAGAAAUUGGUACUAAUUCCCCAUAAUAUUCGGAGAGGCAUCUCUCCGGGUUGAAAACUCCGGUGGUUAUAGAUGGACAUGCGUUGUAUUAGCUAGUUGGUGAGGUAACGGCUCACCAAGGCAACGAUACAUAGGGGGACUGAGAGGUUAAUCCCCCACAUUGGUACUGAGACACGGACCAA
rnacentral:rRNA from 1 species